rnacentral:lncRNA from 1 species
UCCAACCAAAUACUUUUGAGUAAUUUAAAUAUUUAAAUAAAUAAAUUCCAAAGCUUUAUUCAUAAUAACUACUGAAUUACUGCUAAGUUAUAAAAAUAACAUCUGAAUCACAACCCUAUGAUUAUGUCUAUGAAGCUUCUACUGAUAAACUGACGCACUGCUCAGGACAUGAGAUUCCCUGGCCAGUUAUCUAAAUAAACAAAGAAAUAUCUAAAUGAAAAUGACUCUAAGAAUACUCCACGAACAAAAGCGGAGCUCACCAACAUCAGUGGAAGGGAAGGAAGUCCUAACUCGUCGCCUGCUCGCUUGCAAAUCCGGUUUCUACGUAGUACUGCAGACCAACGUAGGUUCCCAAAUGAGAACGUCAGUACCAUCUAUUGUACUCAAUGAGCCUCAACAACAUGGGGAGAAACUUUAAUAACAUAUACAUUACGAGCAAAGGUUGUAGAUGCAUGUAAAACAUAAGGCUUAUAAGAAUAAUUCUGAAAUAAUUGCAUAAAGCAAUUUUUGAAUAUUCUAAAAGAAAUUAUUUUCUUUUUUCUUUAUUUAAAAAAUUACUUCACUUUAUACUUUGGGAGUUCCAACUAUCCUGACUUAAUUCUGUCUCAGUCACCGUGUGAUCGGCUUGAGUUCGAUCCCAACCUGAUCGAAUAGGCCCAAUCCACGAGGUGCCACUCGCUUAAUGGUUCUCAGCGCUCAUGUAUCAUACCUUAGCAUGGAUAAGUAAAUUCUCAGCAACGAGACCCCCGGCUCGUGUGCUCCCUACUUUGGCACAAGUAGUUUCAGGAAGUCAACACCUUGGUCAGGACCCUCGGCCUGGAUGAUGACCCCUUCUCAGAAUAAAGGAUACUCCCCCAAAAAAAUCUUUUCUUUCUAAAACCUCUUCUUGUGACUUUUCAAGUCUAAAUCAUUUCUUUAUAGAACAUUAUGUACAUGCUCAUAAUGGUGUCCUUAAACCUAAAGGAUGACAUAAGAAUGAAAUAAACAUAUAAGGAUAUUUCUAAAGAUUCUUUCUUCUUCAUAAAGUUUCAAUAUGAAAUUAGCAUAUAAAAAUAACACAAAUCUAAAAUAUUUCAGCACAUAUAUCAUUUAGAUCCUCUAAACUUUUGCUAGAGCCGUUCUAAAUUAAUGGGUACUCACUCGCUCUAAUUAAAUAAAGAUAAACUCUUUUAAGAAAUUCAUCAAACACCUUGUAUGCGUGCUUUUGUGAGUUAAACCACUUUAGUAAAGUGUUGUAUCAACUCACCUCAAAACUUCACGAGCCAAUACAUAGGCUCCAGUCCAAUUGACACCAGUCAAACAAUAAAUUCUACAACAACCGGUGUAUUUUAAACAUUUUAAAGUACUAAACCUAAAUAAGAAAUUUAUUGAUGAUAUAGAGGAAGAAGGGAAUUAACUACUAAAUUCUUUGCCAUUACUAUUUUAGGAUAACUGACAAUAGAGAAUUAUAUAUACCUGAAUUCAAGAAUAAGUGAUUUGUAAAGAACCCUAUGUUUUCUGUUGACUGCAUACUUGUUCGCUGCUUUUGUUUUUUUCCCUCUGUGCGUCUGCGCCUUGCGUGAAGAGAAUAAUGUUCUGUUCUCUCUAAUCCUUAAGACCCUUUUCUAAUUCUUUUGCCUUAAAGGGCCAGGCUUGGUCACGUGCU